rnacentral:rRNA from 1 species
UACGUAGGGUGCAAGCGUUGUCCGGAAUUAUUGGGCGUAAAGAGCUCGUAGGCGGUCUGUUACGUCGGCUGUGAAAACCUGGGGCUCAACCCCGGGCCUGCAGCCGAUACGGGCAAACUAGAAUUCGGUAGGGGAGACUGGAAUUCCUGGUGUAGCGGUGAAAUGCGCAGAUAUCAGGAGGAACACCGGUGGCGAAGGCGGGUCUCUGGGCCGAUAUUGACGCUGAGGAGCGAAAGCGUGGGGAGCGAACAGG